rnacentral:tRNA from 1 species
GGGCGGUUAGCUCAGCGGUAGAGCGCGUCUCUGAUAAAGACGAGGCCAAUGGUUCGACACCAUUACCGCCCA